GGCACUGUGCUGCGGCUUCACAGGCUGUCACUGCGCGGGGCCUUCUGCCCAUGCGGCCUGAGCCACCGAGGCAGGGCAUCGGGAGCAACGCGGGGCCGAGCUUUCAGCCUUCCCCAGUUGGCGUAGCCCCACCAGCUUCCCUGGAAGUCUAUUGAUUUACAGCAGCUGAAACCCUGGCCCCUGCUAUGCUUAAAAUCCGAGGCAGGCUUUCAUUGGACACAGAAGAAUACUCUUUGGGACGCUUUGAAACCUGUGCUGUGUGCUAGCGAGGAGCUAAGCGAUUCCCAAGAUUUUCAGUGAGACAUGUACAAACACACACCGCGCACCGAGCAGGCUCCCUCAGACACACAGACACCAAAUACACUCCCUGGGAUGUGCCAGGGUGAAGAAGAGUUUUCUAAGUCACUUCAUUUUCACUGGAAACUCUGCGCCAGUCCUCCCACAUACAGCGCGCUGUGUGCUCCUCGUAACCAGCAUUGUCUGAACUUGUGGUAUUUUAAUAAGUGUUCCUGCCAAGCCAAAGACGCUCUAAGACACAUCACCUUUGUCCAGAGGAGGAUCCCAGCCGAAUCGAAGUCCAGAGAGUGUGACCUCUGCUACAAAGCAACACAUAGGAACGUGGAAAGCUGCAUCCUGAGGUGCAAAGAGCCGGGCGGCUGGUUUCAGGAGUCACAGGGAUGCUGCUGUGAUGUCGGAGCCAAAAGAAGGAGAGAGAAACGAAGCUCUGACUACGUCUAAACAUAAACAGCCCGAGGCUGGCAAGCAGCUCACCUCCAGGUCUGGGAGAAGAGAGCAGAGGAGAGGACAACCCCCAGCGAGCAGCGUGGGUCCACCUAGGUUUUGCCCAGGUCAGACGGCAGCCCCUCCGCCUACCGCCCCGAUGUCAUCUCUCUUUCUGACAUCCCCAUAAAUAAGGCUGCGGAUGACCACACACGAGCCAAGCCCCGGAGCGCUGCCGGAGCUCUCCCGGCCCGCCGCUGCCGUCGGGGCUCCGGCUCCACUCCGGUUCCGCUCCGGUUCCGCGCCCCUCGCCCAUGUAGAGGCCCCGACGAGUGCGACAAAGCCAGGGCACUGCCCAAACCCAGCGCCGGAGAGCAGGCAGGGGGGUGAAACCCAAAAGCUGAAGGCUCUUUCUGGGUGGCAGCCCAAGGAGGCAGUGGGAAAAGUGAGCCCUCAGCCUCCCCAGCCCCGGCUGUUUUCCCCCCAACACACACACACACACACACACAAUCACAACCCUCACAAUGGUGACUUUUGUGCCUCCAGGAGAGAAAGCAGAGUCCUGCCGCUGUAAGGGACGUAACUUAACACACACCAGGCGUUGCGUCAGGUCGCAAUUAGGGAAUCGGAGGGGCUGUUGCAAAACGCAUCAGAUGCAAACCCGCGCCGGAUUAAUGCCCCCCACCCUUCCUCCCCUGCCCUGCGCUGAAACUUCUCGCCCUUACUGCGGAGUGCUCGGGAGGGCAGCCCCGCUGCUGUGAGCACCGUCCUGCCAAAACGGCAAAGGCAGCGAGGGGCCGGCUGCUGCGCCUCCGGGGCAGCGAGCGGGGAGCGGGUGGAAAGGGUUUCUGACUGCAGGUAACGCCGUGGGAAAACCGGAUGACCUGGGCUGCAUGGAAACGUGCUGAAGUGCCCCGUUUCUUUUUGCCUUUUUUUUUUUUUUUUUUUCCUUGCUUUUCAGCAAAGCGAGGAAGAGUUUUUGCAAACACAAAGUGUUGGGAUCGAUGUGCAGUCCAGUGCUCGCACAUUUAAUAAUUCUGCAGCGGUGGGAGGAAAGGGGAAAACGUGUAAUUAGGCAGGAGCAGGUGAAAGAUUCCAGACGAUGAAAUACAACAGGCUAAACGGGAUAAUGUAUUCACCAUUAAAGGACUGACAUUUAUUACCAAAAGGAGACCCGUUAUGUUUGAAUAUGAAAAGGAGCAGAUACGGGGCUGUAUAAAUUACCUCCUUCGCAUUACUUGCAUCUCGUUCAAAAAUAGAUACGUCUAUAUUGAAUAACCAGCGGGUUUGUGUUUGGGAGCAAAGGACGGACCUGUGGAAACACCACCUAGCAAACGAUGCACCUCUAACACGCUCCCCAGACGCACUCCCCAAAGCAAUCGAUCACAGUAAAAAGCGGGGAAAGGAGAGGGGGGAGAAAUCAGGGGAGCCAAAAGGGGCUUUUCACGUAUCGGUGGUGUCACAAGCUCAGGGUAGGCAAUUCGUCUCCCAGUCACACACAUACACACACGCGGGCACGUCUUUCCCGUACAAAUUCCACCCCUUAAAAUAGAUUUCAGCUCGUUGCCUUUAACUGAUCUAUUAUUAACGCUAAUGAAGCUGCAGAGGUACAGGCUGGGAGGUAAGGAAGAGGACCGGCUUGGAUUUCAGAUAGCCGAAGAACUGGUGAAACACGCCGCUGGGCAGACACGUCUAUCUACGAUUCGCCUCGUGUUUAAAGCUCAAAAAUAAAAUCUUCGCUGAGAGGCA
rnacentral:lncRNA from 1 species